GCACCGGCCCCGCCCUGCGGAGAGGAGCGAGUGCUCGGGCCCCACGCGAGGGGUUCGGCUGCGCGGCGGGGCUGAGGCGGCCGCGGCGGCCCGAGAGCAGGCCACCCUCCAGUUCAGGGGUUGCAAACUACAGCCCAGGGGCCGAAUGCAGACCACCUGGUUUUGGAGCGGACGUUUGGUUCCUGGAACCUCGGCACUGAAGACGGCCAGGCCUCACGCACAGGCUUCCGAGCGGCUUUUGUAAUGUGGGGAGAGGAAACAACGGGCACUGAGUUAGAGUGCGGGCGCCGUGGCCGCCGCCGCCCGGGACUCACUGUAACCGCUGUGCUUCGCUGCCUGGCCCGCAGGCCCCACAGCUCCGCCUUCUUUUUCCUUAAACGUUUUGCUGCCGUCACGGAGUUUUGUCUUUGAUGAGAUUUUUAGAAUAAACUCCCAGUUUCUAAC
rnacentral:lncRNA from 1 species